AGAUUGAACGCUGGCGGCAUGCCUAACACAUGCAAGUCGAACGGGAGUAGCAAUACUCUAGUGGCGGACGGGUGAGGAAUACGUAGGAAUUUGCCCUUAAGUGGGGGAUAACCCGGGGGAAACCCGGAUUAAUACCGCAUGACCUCGAAAGAGCAAAGUGGGGGAUCGCAAGACCUCACGCUUUUGGAGAAGCCUACGUCGGAUUAGCUAGUUGGUGAGGUAAUGGCUCACCAAGGCGACGAUCCGUAACUGGUCUGAGAGGAUGAUCAGUCACACCGGAACUGAGACACGGUCCGGACUCCUACGGGAGGCAGCAGUGGGGAAUAGUUGG
rnacentral:rRNA from 1 species